rnacentral:rRNA from 1 species
GACGAACGCUGGCGGCGUGCUUAACACAUGCAAGUCGAACGGGAUUUAGUAGACAGAAGCCUCGGCUAAAGAUUACUAAUGAGAGUGGCGAACGGGUGAGUAACGCGUGAGCAACCUGCCUAUGACAGUGGGAUAGCCUCGGGAAACCGGGAUUAAUACCGCAUAAAAUCGUAGAAACACAUGUUUUAACGGCCAAAGAUUUAUCGGUCAUAGAUGGGCUCGCGUCUGAUUAGCUAGUUGGUGAGAUAACAGCCCACCAAGGCGACGAUCAGUAGCCGGUCUGAGAGGAUGAACGGCCACAUUGGAACUGAGACACGGUCCAAACUCCUACGGGAGGCAGCAGUGGGGAAUAUUGCACAAUGGGGGAAACCCUGAUGCAGCGACGCCGCGUGAACGAAGAAGGUAUUCGUAUCGUAAAGUUCUGUCCUAUGGGAAGAUAAUGACAGUACCAUAGAAGAAAGCUCCGGCUAAAUACGUG